rnacentral:lncRNA from 1 species
CAAACUUCAACCUUGAGGUCCCAGAUGGUCCAGGUGGUGGGAGAGCUGAAACCGAAGGCUCUACGGACUUGCUCCCCUGGCUAGGUCCGUGAAGAUCUGGGGUUCAACCUUGGUCCCCGCGCGCCCCCUGCUGGAUACUGCCUGCAGAGUGCAGAGAAAGGUUACUCCCCCAGAGAAGCCAGGACCUGUUUCUACGCCAUCACUUCUCUUUGCAGCACCGGACUCCAUCACACACCGGCUAUGGGGUCCUGGCUUAACCUCUCUGCAUCUCUAAGAAAUAAAAGACAGAGGAUCCAGAGAUGGGCCAGGGGUUAAGACCACUGGCUGCUCUUGCAGCAGACCUGGGUUGGAUCCCAGCACCCCUAUGACAGCUCACAGCUCUUUGUAACUCUUUGUGGCCUCCCCAGGCAUCAGAUGUAGGUGUGGCACACAGACAGAUCCAUGCAGCCAUUCACCCCUCCUCAUAAAAUAAAAAUAAAUAAAUCUGUAGAAAGAUUAUGAAUGAGAUAAUUUCCUCAUGAGGAUUAAAUGAGCCAAGACAUUGCAAAGCACUCAGUCU